AGAGCGAACGCUGGCGGCAGGCUUAACACAUGCAAGUCGAGCGGGCGUAGCAAUACGUCAGCGGCAGACGGGUGAGUAACGCGUGGGAACAUACCUUUUGGUUCGGAACAACACAGGGAAACUUGUGCUAAUACCGAAUAAGCCCUUACGGGGAAAGAUUUAUCGCCGAAAGAUUGGCCCGCGUCUGAUUAGCUUGUUGGUGAGGUAACGGCUCACCAAGGCGACGAUCAGUAGCUGGUCUGAGAGGAUGAUCAGCCACAUUGGGACUGAGACACGGCCCAAACUCCUACGGGAGGCAGCAGUGGGGAAUAUUGGACAAUGGGCGCAAGCCUGAUCCAGCCAUGCCGCGUGAGUGAUGAAGGCCCUAGGGUUGUAAAGCUCUUUUGUGCGGGAAGAUAAUGACGGUACCGCAAGAAUAAGCCCCGGCUAACUUCGUGCCAGCAGCCGC
rnacentral:rRNA from 1 species